GACGAACGCUGGCGGCAUGCCUAAUACAUGCAAGUCGAGCGAACAGAUGAAGUGCUUGCAUUUCUGACGUUAGCGGCGAACGGGAGAGUAACACGUAAGGAAUCUACCUAUAAGCGGAGGAUAACAUUCGGAAACGGGUGCUAAUACCGCAUAAUAUCUUCUUCCGCAUGGAAGAAGAGUGAAAGACGGCUCUGCUGUCACUUAUAGAUGACCUUGCGGUGCAUUAGUUAGUUGGUGGGGUAAUGGCCUACCAAGACGAUGAUGCAUAGCCGACCUGAGAGGGUGGUCGGCCACAUUGGGACUGAGACACGGCCCAAACUCCUACGGGAGGCAGCAGUAGGGAAUCUUCCGCAAUGGGCGAAAGCCUGACGGAGCAAUGCCGCGUGAGUGAAGAAGGCCUUCGGGUCGUAAAACUCUGUUAUAAGAGAAGAACAAAUUGUAGAGUAACUGCUACAGUCUUGACGGUAUCUUAUCAGAAAGCCACGGCUAACUACGUGCCAGCCGCCGCCGUAA
rnacentral:rRNA from 1 species